rnacentral:rRNA from 1 species
AUUGAACGCUGGCGGCAUGCUUUACACAUGCAAGUCGAACGGUAACAGGCCGCAAGGUGCUGACGAGUGGCGAACGGGUGAGUAAUGCAUCGGAACGUGCCCAGUCGUGGGGGAUAACGCAGCGAAAGCUGCGCUAAUACCGCAUACGAUCUAUGGAUGAAAGCGGGGGACCGUAAGGCCUCGCGCGAUUGGAGCGGCCGAUGUCAGAUUAGGUAGUUGGUGGGGUAAAGGCUAACCAGGCCAACGAUCUGUAGCUGGUUUGAGAGGACGACCAGCCACACUGGGAAGGAGACACGGCCCAGACUCCUACGGGAGGCAGCAGUGGGGAAUUUUGGACAAUGGGCGCAAGCCUGAUCCAGCAAUGCCGCGUGCAGGAAGAAGGCCUUCGGGUUGUAAACUGCUUUUGUACGGAACGAAACGGCUCUGGUUAAUACCUGGGGCUAAUGACGGUACCGUAAGAAUAAGCACCGGCUAACUACGUGCCAGCAGCCGCCGUAAUAC